rnacentral:tRNA from 1 species
GGUCGUAGGUUCGAAUCCUACUUGGGGAG